UGGAACCUGCAGUGCAGGAAGCAGCAGAGGAGGGCAGUGAGCAACUGCACCCGCAAGCAGAGGGAUGGAGCGGCCCAGCGGGAGGCGGUGCAGAGUGUUUCCCUAGAGAGGGGCUAAUGGUUGGGGAACUACAUCCCUGGCAGAAGUGGGAAGUCAGGCCCAAAACAGAAAGAUUCUCCCUUCCUCCUUGGGGCAGGUAUCCGGGCAGAAUGCUACAGGCGGUAGGAAGAUGAUAAACAGGAAAUGCCUUGUGCAACGCAGCAGAAUCCAAGCCAGAGCCAGCCUUUGGGAACUGCGUUAACUUUUCACUACGGCAAACACCAACACAGUGAGAGAAAACCGCUUGCUGGUGUUGAGCUGCAGCCAGCCCACCCCUGGGAACCGGCUGUUUGCUGCUGUUUGGAGCUGGCUACCACAUACACUGCCUUUAGCAAGCUCUGUAUUGGCAUUUAGUGUCUGGGGUAUAGAUACAACUUCUUUGUAAGUCACAGCGUCAUCUACCGACACUGUAACAAUAUGGAACAGCAGUAAAUUGCAUCACACAUCUACAGCUGUGCUGCGCAACUGCAUGGCAGGGCUCGCCUUAGGACGUCACCUAACAGCCACAGGUCUGCUCACGUGACCUGUGCCUUGCACCUUUGGAAUCUGCUCAACUCUGGUCUCCUCAAAUGUAAUUUAGUUCCUGUGUCUUAAAGUGCACUAGUGAGUGACACAGUGGUGCUAUCCACAGAUUUACCACCUUCUUCCUGUUUGUGCCUCAAUACAAGCGACCAACUCUUCAUACCAGACAGUGACAUUGUGUCAAGGAACAGAAGAGUUGAUGCUAGAGAGUCCAAAAUUAUAGGUGUCAACUGAAGAAAAUCUGUGAUAACCGGAGCACUGAGAUCCAUUCACUGGACUGAAGAAAUUCCAGUCUCAUUGAAAAUCAUUUCAAGUUUUCAGUAACAUACACUUUGAGUUCUGAGACUCCUAUCUUAUUUCCUCCACAUAAUUGCUUCCAUAAACACUUUUUGAUAGUGAAAAAUAUCUGGAUGACAUGGAGCAAAAUAAUGAACAGCAUGUAGACUGGCCAAAAACCAGGGGAAGCGUCCUUGGAUGGCAGCCAUCAUAAACUCCACUUACAGCUUAUGAAAGUGCUCACUCGCCCCCAAAUUCCUGUGACAAGCUUCAGCGUGAAGUGCAAUCGCCACAUUCAGUUUCAAAGUUCAAAUGCCAGUUCCUUUAAUAGAAGCUGAGCCCGGUGAUGUGUUCAACAUCUGUAACCCGUGCUCUGUGUAACAUUAACAACUCUUCAAUCCAUGAAGAUCCACUCUUCUCAUGCUAUGAGGGUGGAAAAUAAAGAAGUCACCAGGGAACACACAGAUCGCUUCCUUCAAUCAGCUCUCCACCUCUCCCACUUCAUCUGUUAUGAGAUUUUGGAAAUGGCAGCUGCUCCUCCAUCUGCCCACCACCUCACCUUCAGUCUCUUCCCAGCCCCACUCCUCACUCUGGCUCUAAGGGGAACAACCCGGGUACAACAGAGUCCUUGACCAGCAUGUACUUGGCAUCUGUCCCAACACUCAGAGGAACAAGACUCAGAAAUCCAUGGCAGUCAACUGCUCCCUGAGGCUAAUACCCAGCCACCCCAUCCUUACUACUUCAGCUGUGAAACAGAAGCAAUCAGUAACAGAUUUGUGGAUCAAUGGAACAAAAUAGAGGACACAGAAGUGACCCCAGGCAGAUUCAGCCACCUGAUCUUUGACAAAGGGGCCAAAAACAUCCGCUGGAGGAAAGAUGGUCUCUUUAACAAAUGGUGCUGGAAAACUAGCUAUCCACAUGCAGCAGAUGAAAGACAGUUGGGACGGCUGCCUGCGAAGAAGAUCUCAUGUGGAAUCGCCAUGUUCAAGACAUGGCAGCUCAUGGAUCCAGCCCAGGCUGCGAGGGGAAAGCCUACGCAGGUCUCUGUCCAGCUGUUAUGGCCUGUGAGCUGCUGCAUGGGAACUUCCUGCUCCAUGCGACAGAGUGAAAGCCUAG